rnacentral:rRNA from 1 species
CCUACGGGAGGCAGCAGUAGGGAAUUUUGCGCAAUGGGCGAAAGCCUGACGCAGCAACACCGCGUGAAUGUUAAGCCCUUCGGGGUGUAAAGAUCUGUCAAUAGGGACGAAUUUUGACUGUACCCAUAAACGAAGCACCGGCUAACUCCGUGCCAGCAGCGGCGGUAAUACGGGGGGUGCAAGCGUUGUCCGGAAUCAUUGGGCGUAAAGCGUUCGUAGUCGGCAAGGUAAGUCUGAUGUUAAAGCCCCGGGCUCAACUCCGGUUCGGCAGUGGAUACUAUCUAGCUAGAGUGUGGUAGAGGUAAAGGGAAUUCCUGGUGUAGCGGUGAAAUGCGUAGAUAUCAGGAGGAACAUCGAUGGCGAAAGCGCUAUACUGGACCAUUAUUGACGCUGAGGAACGAAAGCCAGGGGAGCAAAUGGGAUUAGAUACCCUGGUAGUC